AUAUAUUUUUUUAAAUAUCUUUCAAGUUUUUGUUGGUGUACCUCUGGAUAUUUGUGAGAUUUUGAGGCAAGAACAGCCAAAAAACCGUCUAAUCUGCAAACUGAAUGGCUACGUUCGGCACUACGUCUGCAACUGCAAAUCCAAAUCCCAAUCGUUCCACUGAGGUGGUGCAACCUCCUAGUGAUUCAGUGUCAACCCUUUGUUCCAGUCCCAAGGCAAAUGUGCUGGUUGCAACUUCGUGGGAUAAUCAGGUCAUUUUCUUGCCUCAAUUGAAUUUUCAUCGUUGUUUUUUCUACUUGCUAAUUGGGCAUUUUGUUUUGAUCUUAUCUGAGAAAGUGAUUAGGGGAAAAUUGUCCUCGUGGUUUAAUUGUUGGAGAUAUUUUCAAUGGUGCUAGUUUGUGAUAUUACCCUACGUUUGUGACAUGACCUAUUCAGGCCUCAAAUUUUCAUUUAUGAAAUUUUAAUUCAAGUUUGAGGGGAAAAAUUUAUAAUUUCAAUGCCAUGGCCGCAAAUCUAU